rnacentral:piRNA from 1 species
UUUUUGAUUGAUUCUUACUCA